AAAACGGCCCUUUUCAGGGCCACCAAAGAGUUUGCAAAAGAGUUGU
rfam:Culex pipiens quinquefasciatus supercont3.629 genomic scaffold, whole genome shotgun sequence.